UGCGUAGGUGGCGAUGCAAGUCUGGUGUGAAAUCUCGGGGCUUAACCCCGAAAUUGCAUUAGAUACUGCGUUGCUCGAGGACUGUAGAGGAGAGUAGAAUUCACGGUGUAGCAGUGAAAUGCGUAGAUAUCGUGAGGAAGACCAGUUGCGAAGGCGACUCUCUGGGCAGUUCCUGACACUGAGGCACGAAGGCCAGGGAGCAAACG
rnacentral:rRNA from 1 species